rnacentral:rRNA from 1 species
CCUACGGGAGGCUGCAGUGGGGAAUAUUGGACAAUGGGCGAAAGCCUGAUCCAGCCAUGCCGCGUGUGUGAAGAAGGCCUUCGGGUUGUAAGGCACUUUCAGUGGGGAAGAAAGCCUUGGGGCUAAUACCCUCGAGGAAGGACAUCACCCACAGAAGAAGCACCGGCUAACUCCGUGCCAGCAGCCGCGGUAAUACGGAGGGUGCGAGCGUUAAUCGGAAUUACUGGGCGUAAAGCGCGCGGAGGCGUGUGAUAAGCCGGUUGUGAAAGCCCCGGGCUCAACCUGGGAACGGCAUCCGGAACUGUCAGGCUAAAGUGCAGGAGAGGAAGGUAGAAUUCCCGGUGUAGCGGUGAAAUGCGUAGAGAUCGGGAGGAAUACCAGUGGCGAAGGCGGCCUUCUGGACUGACACUGACGCUGAGGUGCGAAAGCGUGGGUAGCAAACAGGAUUAGAUACCCCAGUAGUC